UACAGAGGUCCCAAGCGUUGUUCGGAUUCACUGGGCGUAAAGGGUGCGUAGGUGGCGGGGUAAGUCUGAUGUGAAAUCUCGGAGCUUAACUCCGAAACUGCAUUCGAUACUGCCGUGCUUGAGGACUGGAGAGGAGACUGGAAUUUACGGUGUAGCGGUGAAAUGCGUAGAUAUCGUAAGGAAGACCAGUGGCGAAGGCGGGUCUCUGGACAGUUCCUGACGCUGAGGCACGAAGGCCAGGGGAGCAAACGGG
rnacentral:rRNA from 1 species